CUGACCCAGACCUCCCUGGACUAAACUCAAGAUGUCAUCAGAGGCUGGAGUGCAGUGGUGCAAUUAUGGAUCGAGGUUAACUGCAGUCUCAACUUCUCAACCUUGUGAAUUCAAGCAAUCCUCCCACCUCAGCCUCCCAAGUAGCCGGAACUACAGGCAUUUAACACCACAUCCAGCUAAUUUUUAAAAAAAUAUUUUGUAGAGACCGGGUCUCACCCUGUUGCCCAAGCUGAUCUCAAACUCCAUGGUUCGACCUCCUGAUGCCCAAAUCCUGGAAUUACAGGCAUAAGCCUCUGCACCUGGCUGCUUUCUUCCUCUCAAGAGCUUUUCAGAAUUCAAAUGGUUUGAAACUUUAUUGAGAUUAAAGUGAUCAUUUUUUUUUCUUUCUUUCUAUUUUGUUAUUAUUGUUGUCGUUUUGAGACAGAGUCUUACUCUGUCUCACAGGCGGGAGUGCAGUGGCAUAAUCUCGGCUCACGGAAGCCUCCACCUCCCGCAUUCAAGUGAUUCUCAUGUUUCAGCCUCCCAAGUAGCUGGGAUUACAGGU
rnacentral:lncRNA from 10 species